UACGUAGGGUGCGAGCGUUAAUCGGAAUUACUGGGCGUAAAGCGCGUGCAGGCGGCCUUGCAAGUCGGACGUGAAAUCCCACGGCUCAACCGUGGAAGUGCAUUCGAAACUGCGAGGCUGGAGUCCUGGAGAGGAAAGUGGAAUACUCGGUGUAGAGGUGAAAUUCGUAGAUAUCGAGUGGAACACCGGUGGCGAAGGCGGCUUUCUGGACAGGUACUGACGCUGAGACGCGAAAGCGUGGGGAGCAAACAGG
rnacentral:rRNA from 1 species